CCCAAGUAAGACAUGUAUAUUUUGAAGGCUCGCCUUCAUGACCUCCAACUGACGCAGAAAGUAAAGAGGAAGUCGAGUUUGAGUGUUAAUGGCCUUGAAAAGUUGCUCCGUCAGAGAGGAAAUCAUUACAUCUACAAUUGCCAUUAUCUUUUGUGUAUUUUACCUGGUUUGAAAGUGUUGAAGCGGCCUGCAAGCCAAAUAGGAUAUGAGGAGCGAUCGAGCAAUCAAUCCAGCUGAAGAGAAGUUAGAAUCUUUUGGUGGGGACUCAAAAAUCUGUGACAGAGUUUAGCCCAUAUUUGAUAUUUCACCCAAGACCAAGAAUGAAGGUAUAAAAC
rnacentral:misc_RNA from 1 species